GACGAACCGUCCAAACGUUAUUCGGAAUCACUGGGCUUACAGAGUUCGUAGGCGGUCUGGAAAGUUGGGUGUGAAAUCCCUCGGCCUAACCGAGGAACUGCGCUUGAAACUACCAGACUCGAGGGGGAUAGAGGAAAGCGGAACUGAUGGUGGAGCGGUGAAAUGCGUAGAUAUCUGGAGGAACACCGGUGGCGAAAGCGGCUCACUGGAUCGAAACUGACGCUGAGGUGCGAAAGCUAGGGUAGCAAACGGG
rnacentral:rRNA from 1 species